rnacentral:rRNA from 1 species
ACGCAUUAAGUACUCCGCCUGGGAAGUACGCUCGCAAGAGUGAAACGCAAAGGAAUUGACGGGGACCCGCACAAGUAGCGGAGCAUGUGGUUUAAUUCGAAGCAACGCGAAGAACCUUACCUAAGCUGGACAUCCCAAUGACAUCUCCUUAAUCGGAGAGUUCCCUGCGGGGACAUUGGUGACAGGUGGUGCAUGGUUGUCGUCAGCUCGUGUCGUGAGAUGUUGGGUUAAGUCCCGCAACGAGCGCAACCCUUG